UGGAAACAGAUGCUAAUACCGCAUAACAACGUUGUUCGCAUGAACAACGCUUAAAAGAUGGCUUCUCGCUAUCACUUCUGGAUGGACCUGCGGUGCAUUAGCUUGUUGGUGGGGUAAYGGCCUACCAAGGCGAUGAUGCAUANCCGAGUUGAGAGACUGAUCGGCCACAAUGGGACUGAGACACGGCCCAUACUCCUACGGGAGGCAGCAGUAGGGAAUCUUCCACAAUGGGCGCAAGCCUGAUGGAGCAACACCGCGUGAGUGAAGAAGGGUUUCGGCUCGUAAAGCUCUGUUGUUAAAGAAGAACACGUAUGAGAGUAACUGUUCAUACGUUGACGGUAUUUAACCAGAAAGUCACGGCUAACUACGUGCCAGCAGCCGCGGUAAUACGUAGGUGGCAAGCGUUAUCCGGAUUUAUUGGGCGUAAAGAGAGUGCAGGCGGUUUUCUAAGUCUGAUGUGAAAGCCUUCGGCUUAACCGGAGAAGUGCAUCGGAAACUGGAUAACUUGAGUGCAGAAGAGGGUAGUGGAACUCCAUGUGUAGCGGUGGAAUGCGUAGAUAUA
rnacentral:rRNA from 1 species